GCCAGUGGUGUCUGUUUUUGUAAAAGAAAUCUCUGGAGCGGCUCUCAUAACUCAAAAACUCUGCAGGAUUGGGCCUGGUUAGUACUUUGAUGGGAGACCACCUAGGAAGACCAGGUGCUGUAGGUG
rnacentral:rRNA from 1 species